rnacentral:tRNA from 1 species
UGACUGGUGGCUCAGUAGGUAGAGCGUCAGCCUGCAGACUGAAGGGUCCCUGGUUCGAUUCCGGUCAA